CUCUUCGAGAUGAGGAAGUUAUCACCUACAUACUUGCUGGUUUGGAUUCUAAUUUUGACCUCUUGGUGACAUUAUUUACCACCAGAACAGGUUUAAUGUCCUUCAAUGAUCUCUAUGCACAUUUACUGAGCUAUGACA